rnacentral:misc_RNA from 1 species
GGGUGUUGUUUGUGGAGAAUUUUCUCUUUAAUUUUUGUAUUGGUCCUAUUGCAUUUCAAUGGAUGGGCAAAUUUGUUAAUGUUUCCAUUCAAUACAUCUCUUGAAGUAUGUGUCUAUUAUUUCUUUCGCGAAAGUAAAAACAAAUAUAGCGAGUCCCAUGCAUGUUCACAUUUGUUAGUACCUGUUGAAUUCCAUUUCUUUGCCUGCUGGUUAUUUGUUCAAUAAUGAGAUCUGGGAGCUGAUGCAAGUCUUACUGCAUUUUUGGUUUUUACAUAUCCCUAAAAACUAAGGAGGAACUUCUGGAUAAUUUUAUGACCUAGUGUAAUAGGAUUGCUCAUUAUUUUUCAUUCUGGUUGGCACAAA